rnacentral:rRNA from 1 species
AUAGCAGAAUUCAGUGAAUCAUCGAUUCUUUGAACGCACCUUGCGCCCUUUGGCUAUUCUGAAGGGCAUGCCUGUUUGAGUAUCAUG